rnacentral:rRNA from 1 species
GGUUAAGCUACUAAGGGCGCACGGUGGAUGCCUUGGCACUAGAAGCCUAAGAAGGACGGGACGAACACCGAUAUGCUUCGGGGAGCUGUAAGUACGCUUUGAUCCGGAGAUUUCCGAAUGGGGGAACCCACCAUCUUUAAUAGGAUGGUAUCCAUUUCUGAAUACAUAGGGAAUGGAAGGCAGACCCGGGGAACUGAAACAUCUCAUUACCCGGAGGAAGAGAAAGCAAACGCGAUUUCCUGAGUAGCGGCGAGCGAAACGGAAUCAGCCCAAACCAGAGGGCUUGCCCUCUGGGGUUGUAGGACGUCUCUUUGGAGUUACAAAGGCACGGAUAGACGAAGCGACCUGGAAAGGUCCAUCAGAGAAGGUAACAAUCCUGUAGUCAAAAUCCGAUGCCCUCCGAGACGGAUCCUGAGUACGGCGGGACACGUGAAACCCCGUCGGAAUCCGGGAGGACCAUCUCCCAAGGCUAAAUACUCUCUAGUGACCGAUAGUGAACCAGUACCGUGAGGGAAAGGUGAAAAGCACCCCGGAAGGGGAGUGAAAAAGAACCUGAAACCGUGUGCCUACAACUAGUUGGAGCCCGUUAAUGGGUGACAGCGUGCCUUUUGUAGAAUGAACCGGCGAGUUACGAUCCCGUGCAAGGUUAAGCUGAGAAGGCGGAGCCGCAGCGAAAGCGAGUCUGAAUAGGGCGAAAUAGUACGUGGUCGUAGACCCGAAACCAGGUGAUCUACCCAUGUCCAGGGUGAAGUUCAGGUAACACUGAAUGGAGGCCCGAACCCACGCAUGUUGAAAAAUGCGGGGAUGAGGUGUGGGUAGCGGUGAAAUGCCAAUCGAACCUGGAGAUAGCUGGUUCUCUCCGAAAUAGCUUUAGGGCUAGCCUCGCGGCAAGAAUCUUGGAGGUAGAGCACUGAUUGGACUAGGGGUCCUUACCGGAUUACCGAAUCCAGUCAAACUCCGAAUGCCAACGAUUUAUCCGCGGGAGUCAGACUGCGAGUGAUAAGAUCCGUAGUCGAGAGGGAAACAGCCCAGACCACCAGCUAAGGUCCCAAAGUAUACGUUAAGUGGAAAAGGAUGUGGCGUUGCUUAGACAACCAGGAUGUUGGCUUAGAAGCAGCCAUCAUUUAAAGAGUGCGUAAUAGCUCACUGGUCGAGUGACGCUGCGCCGAAAAUGUACCGGGGCUAAACGUAUCACCGAAGCUGUGGAUUGUCUUACGACAAUGGUAGGAGAGCGUUCUAAGGGCUGUGAAGUCAGACCGAAAGGACUGGUGGAGCGCUUAGAAGUGAGAAUG